AGGCUCAGCUUCCAUCACCGCGUGGCGGAGCCCGUGUCCGGGCCAGCAAAGACUGCAUGAGAGAGACAGAUAAUUCAGGCCAUCUGGACCCGAGGCCGAUGACCAGGACAGAUGCCACCUAGAUCAAAAGAGGAAGAUAUUUUUAGAGUUUUGAAUGUGGGCUCUGAAAACUUUUAUAUCUUAAGCCAAAUGAACAUCAUGAUGGAUGGUUCAGACUUAACUGGGUCUUUAUCAGGGGAUGGAUUAAAAAGUAAGAAGUCCUAGAAACUAAUUUCUGAAAAUGAGGGGAGCCAGAAUUGCAACACUUCCAUCAAAUAUGCCGAGGCUUGGUCAGCCAGGGCAAUGGGGUCCAGGAUCAAAGAUAAUAUCUGGGCUCAGGCUGAAAAGCUGGUUUUCAUGGAGCUUGCCCAGCUUGCUCUGGGGCCUCAGGUAAGUCACUGCUUUCUGCUUUGCCACUUUGGCAUUGCCAUUUUAUCUGGGACGAGGUGUGAGGAUAAGGAGGAAGUAUUUUCAGGUCUUAGGAAACGAGUCACCACAUUAUAUAAAGAUUGUAAAAAUGUGGCUCUGGUGAACAUUCUCAUCACCGUCACCAUGGCCAAGCUCCUUUGAGAAGAGACCUACAUAAGUAAGAGUUAUUCUUGGGCCCACUGCCCCCAGACCCCCACAGCCUUGGCUGGGCCACAUCCUCUAAAGAAGCUGGGACUGGUGGGAAGUUCGGGGGAACCUGGGUCCCUGGACCCGGGAACUGGACUGCAUCCUCCCCUCAUUUCUCACCCACAUGUUCCUUUCUGUUGCUCCACCAGCCACCCAGCCCCACGGUGGGCCUUGCCUCGUCUGUUAGGUGGUAUUUUCAUCUUUGGUCAGAUGACAGCCCCCAUGCUCCAAAAAUUCUCCUGCAGCCAGGGCUUGGAGAAUCCCGACCCCUCUCUGGCAUGAACCUCUCCUCAUCCAGGGUGGCUUGUGUGGUAGAGCCAGGGGAAUGGAGAAGAUGACCUCUGAAGCCUGAAGGCUCUUUGGGAAGCAGGACACAAACAUCCUGAAGAGCCAGCCUUGAGCUGGCUGCACAAGAGACUCAUAGACUUUGCGUCAACAUCCACCUCUCCAGGCUGCAGUGGGUGUACCUGUUCACCACCACCUCCAGCAGCACUGUCGCAGCGGAGCAGUUCUUACAGCCAAUGAGCUUCCACACCACCUCCCUGCAGUUCUCUGCAACCGAGGCUCCAUCCUGCACUGAUGGGCUGCCUGACACGUCGGCCUCAACAAGCAUUUCCAGCACAUUCUCAGCUUUCCUGCUCUGCUGGGCAAAACACAGGGUGAGAAGGGGAGAGGAAGAACGGGACUGUGGCCCAGUUCUAGGCUUGGAGUCUAGCGAGGAACACCAGGUGCCUGCAUUAAAAGGAUGGUUGGAGAGACAAAAGAGGAAAAUGAAUGCUUCCACGAAGCUCCCUCUUUGUGGCAGAAUCAGUCCAAUGGAGAAAUUCUGAAAUUCCAGUUUUACAAAGUUCUUCAAACUUACCUCAAGGAUGGCACCAGCUGAAGCUCAGUUGCCCUGUCUCUUAUGCACCAGUGCAUCUGCCCCAGAAACUCUUAUCUGGGGCUCAGUUUGCCCCCAUGUGGUAUAAGUCCCUCCAAAGAUUCCAUUUCUAGUUACUCGUCUCAAUGUCACAAUGAGAAAUAUUUCUGCAUAUUUCCUGCAAAGCGUCUCAUUAAAGAAAGUAUUGGUUUGAUUCAGAAAAUGCUAUGCUGUUCCAGCUUCACUUUGGAUCUAUAGUUUUAGAAAGUAUCCAACUCUGCUUCUAGUUUAAGCUGCCCUGUUAAAGAGUUAAUGGAAAAAACCCCACUAUGGUAUGAGGAAGGGGUGGGAAUUAACGUUUGGGUCCCAUUCUGUGCCUAAAACACUGGUUCCCUCUAUGUUUUGAGCCUGAAAUUGAGUCGUUCUUAUGGAAGGCAGAUGCUAGAGGAGCUUUCUUUGGGAUUCUCAUUACCCGUUUCCAUCAGACCAGGCCAUUAGAUGGUUGCUUCUAGAAGGAUGGUGCAGCCCUGAGUCUGCAGGGGGCAGACCGGUCACAAAAACCAGAGUGGAGCUGGGGGUCAGACUGGAGUUCAUUGGGUAGGUUCAGUUCACACCCUGGUGCACAGGGUCCACGAAGGCACAACAAGGCACAGGUGAGAGCCAGGAGGGCAAGCAGGGAUCCAAGUGUACACAGCCCAGGGAGCAAGACAAGCAGAGAGGCCUGGAGCCAGAAGGAGGCUCGGAAACAACGAUGCCAGCAGUGAGCUCACGGGUCAGAAGCUUCUGGCCCAAGGCUUUAUGGAGGCCAUGCCUGAGCUGAAUAUUGGUGGCUGAGCAGCCAAUAAACGGAACACAGAUGGGGCCAGGGCAGGGAAUUCCAGGCAGGAGGAACAGCCAGAGAGCAAAGGCAGGGAGGCUGGAAGCUUUGCUGUGUGAGGAUCUGUGUACACACAGGGAAUGCUUCACAGGCUGUAGAGACAGUGACUAGCUUCUGAGAUCAGAGUAGGCUGGGCUGAGUAAUGGGAAGGGUGGAGGGGGCAGAGACCCACAUUACAGCCCGUGGCCCUGAACCCAGGACAAGCCACGGGGGUGGAGGAGCAGGCAGGAGAUGCUCCACCACUGCUGGCAAGGAGCAGGGCAGCCUGCCCAAGGGGGUACUGCCUGGAGCAUCACUGACUUACCCCAUCUGCUGGCGAGGAUACAGAAGCUCAGCCCACAGGGCCACCAUGGAUGGCCCUAAAGGUUGUGUCCUAUGCAAGGGGACCACAGAAGGCUGGUGCCCUGGACAGUUGGCAAGAGGCUGAGCGCAGGGCAGUGAGGGAUGCUCGUGUGCCUGGGGAAAGCUUCCCUGGGCUUCCCUUUUUUUUCUCCAUCUUCACCCUCUCACCCCUCACCCCUCCUGACACCCUGUCCCUUGGGGGAGCACCUAACACCCCUGUGUCCACCUGAACCACACCAGCCCUAACGUGCUGAAUCCCCGCUAAAUGAGCCCAGUGCUCAUCCAUCCAUCCGCGCAUCCGUUGUUCAGUGGGGAAAGUAGCACGUAGCAGGUCCGAGCACAGGCUCUGCAGCCAGAAUUCCUGGGUUCCAUGCCUCACCCAGCCACGUAUUUGCUGUGUGACCUCAGGCAAGCUACUUAGCUUCUCCACGCACGUGUGCUCAUCUAGAAAACGAGGCUGAUGCUCGUGCCCACGUGGCAAUGUGAUGAGUAAUGCUAGUACUCAUCUCUGAGGGUGGAUGGGAGAGACACGCAAAGUGUUUGCAAGGGGGCCGGCACCUGGGAGCACUCAUACAUGUUGGCUGUCACUGUCAUGGAGCACCACCGUGUGCCGGGCUCUGCUUGGUGCUCCUGGGCUGCUCACAUGAGCAAGGUGCUGACUCUGCCAAGGAAGGGUGCUUUUUUUUUCUUUUGGAGAAAGAAAAGGGAUGCUUUCUGCUGCUCCCGCCCUGAAAACACUGCGUGCCCCUCUGCUCUUCUCCUACUAGGCUUGAGAAGCAAGACCAGCACACCCUGAGUUGGGGUGUUGCCUCCUAAGCCACUGGCCAGCAAUUCUGGGGGGGGGGGUGGGGACGCUGAAGAGAAUGCGGGGCUCUGCUGGUGCAGCAUGGACCCUCCUUGGUCUGGUGAGCUGGGAGAAGCAGGACAGCAUGGGGUCCAGUGAUACUAACCGUGUGGAAAUAGAACUCCUCCAGAUUACAGGGCACCUGAGAAUUUCUUACUGACUUUUGUUUAAUAAUUCAAAAACACAUCAAAUCAAACUUAAUCAAGGCAAAAGCUGUCUCUGGAGCCUUCUUCGUGCUUCCUGGAGUCAAGCUCUUACAGAAUCACGGCAGCACCCCCCUCCCUAGCUCACGAAGGAAGCUGGAGGACUCCACAGCUGCUUCAGGAAACAGACUGUCCCCAGGGAACCCUUCAGAGAUCUUGGGACCAGACAGGAUGUACCUGGACUCCUGGAAUUCCCUCUCCAGCCUCCAGGUCCCGUGAGGAUGUGAGCUGGAGCAGUACGGGCUUCCCUGAUCCUUCCUGUGUCCAGACAGCCAACAUGUGCCGCGGGAGCCCUGAGAUGAUUCCGAUGCACGGAGGGAGCCGGGAAACGCUGGUAUUUCUGCCUGUCACUUAUUAUCUGGUUGAGCUGGUGGCGGGAGUCCCGGCCCAUGUGUGUUACCAGAGGGAUGGUCUAGAGAAUGAAUCCAUCUGUCAGAGGCAUCCAAGAAGAAAGGCCUGGGCCAGGAUCACAUGGAAGACCCUGAAGACAGGAUCGGGUCUUGCCUGCCUGGAUUGAACAGAGACGCAGUGACCAGUCCCAUCUGCUCCCACCCUGCUGCCCUCUGAAUCGAGAGUUUGAGGCCAUGACCAGGGUAACGUUCAGCUGGUAGAGACAACACAACCCUGCUGGCUGUUUAAGCCAUGCUGGAGUGGUGCUCACAGGGUAACAAUUUUCAAGUGCUACGGAUGCAAUAGCUCAGCGACUGGCAGCGCAGCACGUACCUGCUGUCGUGGGAGGUGAGAGCCACCAGUGCCCGACAGCGGCUGCAAGGCAGUGGUGGCGCUCUGCAGCCAGCCGGCCCACCCCUCCAACAUCUGCAAGGGGGUGGGAGGCUGCCUCACCAAGCUACCUGCUACUCAUGGGGGCGAUGGGCAUCAGGGUGGCCUGCCUGGAGCCCCGAGAGCACAUAGAAGCUGCCAGAUGAGGGCAGUGAGGCCGAGGGCCGGCAGUAGGGCUGCAGAUGCCCUGAGCCCUAAGGUCAAGGUGGAUGGAACUGCUGUGUAAGUCUGAUGCCGAGGAGACCAGGUCGUUGGGCUUUCAGCCCUGCGGCCGCCAAGUCUCAGGUUAGAGCUCCCUCUCGCGGCCGAUGCUGGGCACUACAUUGCCCAAGACCCAGGUGGGCCGAAGUCUUGAGAAAGGGCUCGCAGUCAUCGUCGCCAGCAGGCAGACACCAGGCACCUACCUCCCCGACAUACCCAGCCUGGUACCUCGAAGACCAGUAGCCUUGAGCUACACUUGGGAUUCCCAAUACAGUUUCAAAACCGUCUAGCUCAUCUUUCAGGAACCUUCCAGGGUUCACAUUCUGAUUUUUCAGUAAGGUUCUCACCUCUGUGACCAAUUACCUUGAGACUGAUGUCCUGCACCAUCCUGGAGUGUUGGGAUCUGCAGGUCGUGAAAAGGGAAACCAAGCAAUCACUUUGGAAUGACUUCCUGGAACUUCCCUGGCCCCUCCUUCGUGUUCUCUGAUGACAGCCAGGAGCUGACUCAGAAACCUCAUAAGAAGCUGAAGGCAUGACGACUUCCCUGUUAAAAAAAAAAUGUCCCACGUGUGGCCGAGUGCCACACCCAGGCAGCUGCCGAAAAAAAGCACCAGACACCAUGCAGCUGGGCCCCAGGGCCCGGCCCAACCCGGUUGGCCUUCUCCGGCACCUGCAGGGAACUUGUCCUGUCUUGUCUCUGCUCGCCCCCUGCUGGCUGCCUGGAGCCAUUCCGUGCUGGUUUCUUCGCGUCUUCUGUCAGGAGAGAGAUGCUGAUGCUUACUCAGGGAUCCGGCGGCUGUGACCCUGAGGCCCCGAGGUGGAUUAACAGAGCCCUCAGCACCGAGUCUCCAAGCUGAAGGCAGUGGUCACACUCCCUGCUGCCCUCCAGGUUUGGAGGGAUGGAGAGGAGAGAGGAGGGGAAGAAGCUACCUUCUUCACUAGCCUUGCUGAGAGACAAGUGGGUACGGCCCACAGGCACCUCCACCAGCCUGCCCUCUACAUCCAGAUUCGCAAG
rnacentral:lncRNA from 1 species